UCCUUAAUCUUUGCUAGUUUUUUUAUCAAUCGAGCUCUCUCAAUUUCAACAAAAAUCUUGCCAGCAGAAACAGUGUUGAGUGUCUUAAUGAGUUCUAUACGUGUUUCAAGAUCUGGUGUAUCAUCAAUGUACUGCAUUGCUUGCUGGACCAUGGCACCUACAGCCUGCUUGAGUUGACCGCGUUUCUUGGAUAGGAGGACUAUCUGGUCGUUGAGCAUCUUCCAGUCUUUUGCCUCGAAGCAAAGCUGAAGAAUGUCGGUGACGGCCUUCUUGGUGCCGGCAACAUCACCGGCGAGCCUCAUCUGUUUCUCGCCAUUCUGUAACUGCUCUAUCGCCGACUCUAAAUUCGCUUUGCCCUCCAUCUUGAGUCGGGAAAAUUCUAUAGAUGAAGAUACAAUAAUUCAGAUGAACCCUAGAGAAAAGAGUGUGAGUUCUUUAUUUUAAGAAAAGAUUUG
rnacentral:misc_RNA from 1 species